rnacentral:rRNA from 1 species
AGCAAGGAAUCUUCCCCAAUGGGCGACAGCCUGAGGGAGCAACGCCGCGUGGAGGAUGACGGCUUUCGGGUUGUAAACUCCUUUUCGGGGGGACGAUACGGACGGUACCCCCACAAUAAGCCCCGGCUAACUCUGUGCCAGCAGCCGCGGUAAGACAGAGGGGGCAAGCGUUGUCCGGAUUGACUGGGCGUACAGCGCGCGCAGGCGGCGCAGUAGGUGCCAUGUGACAUCCCACGGCUCAACCGUGGGCGGCCGUGGUACACCGCUGGGCUGGAGCACGGGAGAGGGUCGUGGAAUGCCCGGUGGAGCGGUGAAAUGCGUAGAGAUCGGGCGGAACACCAGCGGCGAAGGCGGCGACCUGGCCUGUGGCUGACGCUGAGGCGCGAGAGCGUGGGGAGCGAA